rnacentral:rRNA from 1 species
UGAGUAACCUGCCCUUAACUCUCGGAUAAGCCUGGGAAACUGGGUCUAAUACCGGAUAUGACUCCUCAUCGCAUGGUGGGGGGUGGAAAGCUUUAUUGUGGUUUUGGAUGGACUCGCGGCCUAUCAGCUUGUUGGUGAGGUAAUGGCUCACCAAGGCGACGACGGGUAGCCGGCCUGAGAGGGUGACCGGCCACACUGGGACUGAGACACGGCCCAGACUCCUACGGGAGGCAG